GGCGAACGGGUGAGUAACACGUGGGUAACCUGCCCAUAAGAGGGGGAUAACAUCCGGAAACGGGUGCUAAUACCGCAUAGUUUUCUUGAUCGCAUGAUUGAGAAAGGAAAGACGGCCUUUGUGCUGUCGCUUAUGGAUGGACCCGCGGCGUAUUAGUUAGUUGGUGAGGUAAUGGCUCACCAAGACGAUGAUACGUAGCCGACCUGAGAGGGUGAUCGGCCACAUUGGGACUGAGACACGGCCCAAACUCC
rnacentral:rRNA from 1 species